GAGAAAAUGGCAGCCUCGUGACAAAAUAGACACUCAAGAGGAAAAAGAUGGCGGAAGUGGAUGCUGAGUUCGAAUCAAGCCAAUAUGCCGUAGAGGAAGAAGAGGAAGAUCUGGAGUUGAUGAUGGAAUCGCUGAUGACAGUUCAGAUGAAGAGCCACCUCUUAAGACCAGGAAACCAACAAUGGAUGAGCUCCUAAAAGACUGGAGAAACUUCUGGAUAGGAGGAUCCUUCAUCUCAAUUUCCGCCUAAAAUGCCAUACCCAAAUCUAACUGCCUGUAGCUCAGGACCUGAAGCAAGGAUAUGCAUUUUACUGAUACCAUUUGAAAGGAAACACUUUGAUGUUUGUGAAGAUGUGAAAUGAAUGGAGGAGAAUAUAACACAACAGAUCUGGUAAAAGAUAAAACCAACAGGAAAAA